AUAAAGAAAAUACCGAUGCCGAGGUCAGACAGCUGAAGCCUGCGAUCUUCUCCCGUGAUCAACUCCAUUGUUCAGUGAUGCAUUUCGGCAGUCACAGCAUCUAGACAAGAAAACUUCUCUCUGCCCGCGUGAUCCUUUAGCUCCAUCGCCAUUAGGCCUUCUUCUCUAUUUAAGGUGAUGCGCUUCGGAAGUACGGGGCCCUGGUGCAGCCAGCUGCGGGGGAAGCCCUCAAAGCUGUUCGGAAUUUUGCUCCUCAGGAUAAAGAAGCGGUUCUUCCAAUUCUUCAGGGAGGAAGGCAGAUCGGUGAAAAGCC
rnacentral:misc_RNA from 1 species